UUUUUUUCCAAAUUUGCCCCUUCCUGUCAUUCAAUAUUACAUCCUACCUCUUUAUAUUUAUUAUACUCUAGAAACCUCUCUCAGUAAGGUUGUGCUCCAUCUCUCUCCUGCAUAACCUUUUCAUCUUAAAAACACAGCCAUCUAAGACAAACUCAAGAAAGAGGAAACUUAUGAAUCAAAUGGACUUAGACAGUCGAGAUGCAUUACUACAAACACAAUAGUGCGACUUUUUGUUCAAAGUGCAUAUGGCCUUACUAAUAAUGGAUGCUUGAAAGAAUGCUUGAAGUGAGACUCAACAAGAUUUUGUAAACAUUGCUCGACACACCACUUCAAUGUUAAGUAUAUAUAUUGCUCGAUCCACCAAGCUUUUAUGUACAAAUUUAGAUAACUUCUUUUGAAUAUGUAAUUAUUAGCUAAGAUAGAAGUCCCACUUUUGGAUACAAACAAAACUAAACUCUAUGUAAUUAGACAAUCAAAUACUUUUGUUGAACAUAACAAUAACGAAAUAUAUGUAAAUACCCUAAUAAUAUUUUGCAUACAAACAAAUUUCAGUAUCUUA